CGCGUGCUUACACAUGCAGUCGAACGAUGAAGCUGGAGCUUGCUCCGGUGGAUUAGUGGCGAACGGGCGAUUAACACGUGAGAAAUCUGCCCUUGACUCUGGGAUAACUGCGGGAAACUGUAGCUAAUACCGGAUACUUUUCCUGGUGGGCAUCCACUGGGGAAGAAAGAAUUUCGGUCAAGGAUGAUCUCGCGGCCUAUCAGCUAGUUGGUGAGGUAACGGCUCACCAAGGCGACGACGGGUAGCCGGCCUGAGAGGGUGACCGGCCACACUGGGACUGAGACACGGCCCAGACUCCUACGGGAGGCAGCAGUGGGGAAUAUUGCACAAUGGGCGCAAGCCUGAUGCAGCAACGCCGCGUGAGGGAUGACGGCCUUCGGGUUGUAAACCUCCUUUAGCAGGGAAGAAGCGAAAGUGACGGUACCUGCAGAAAAAGCACCGGCUAACUACGUGCCAGCAGCCGCGGUAAUACGUAGGGUGCAAGCGUUGUCCGGAAUUAUUGGGCGUAAAGAGCUCGUAGGCGGUUUGUCACGUCUGCUGUGAAAAUCCAAGGCUCAACCUUGGACUUGCAGUGGGUACGGGCAGGCUAGAGUGCGGUAGGGGAGAUGGGAAUUCCUGGUGUAGCGGUGGAAUGCGCAGAUAUCAGGAGGAACACCAAUGGCGAAGGCACAUCUCUGGGCCGUAACUGACGCUGAGGAGCGAAAGCGUGGGGAGCGAACAGGAUUAGAUACCCUGGUAGUCCACGCCGUAAACGGUGGGUGCUAGCUGUGGGCCACAUUCC
rnacentral:rRNA from 1 species